UGGGUAUGAAGUUUCCAGCUCACGCACUUCGGAGGACACGUUCACACCAUGGCAGUAAUGGAAUAGCAUGGCCCUGGUGAAACUUGUAAGACCAGGGAAGUAUCCACAACAGACAAGGUGGCUGAAGAGUCCCAGGAGCUGGCCCUCUGUGGGAUGCUCAGAGGUCUCUCAGCGCAGAAGCAGCUUACCUGGCUCCAAGCCAGGGAGGGCUACAGAGAAGGAAGACACACUGAGGCCACCUCAUCUCAGAGGGGGAAAGUGAAGAAAAAUGCUGGAAAAUGGACCAACUUUAUUAUAUUUUCAUGAGACAGGCACAUUUGAGGAUGAAGACAUCUUGGUACUCAUGCUAAGUUCUGCCUAGAUGAUGCCAAGGAAAGACGGCUGCGCCCACUCCAAGAUUGGAUAGAAGCCACUGCCAUGCUGAGAAUAUGCUGACACCACCUGUCCAAGAGUCCCCCUAGGUAACCACAAGAUACACAGCCUUCCCUUGAGAAGCUGCAGAAAUGCUCUCCACCUCAUGCAGGCAUUGCUCCAUUCAGCAGCAUGAGGCAUGAAAGUACUUAAAACUGUCUUCAGAGCAGUGUUAGCUGCUCACAACACAGACAAACCAUGGUGUGUUUGAAAGACCCAUCUCAACUUCAAAGGAGGCC